GACGAACUUUGGCGGCGUGCUUAACACAUGCAAGUCGAACGGAAAGGCCCUGCUUUUGUGGGGUGCUCGAGUGGCGAACGGGUGAGUAACACGUGAGUAACCUGCCCUUGACUUUGGGAUAACUUCAGGAAACUGGGGCUAAUACCGGAUAGGAGCUCCUGCUGCAUGGUGGGGGUUGGAAAGUUUCGGCGGUUGGGGAUGGACUCGCGGCUUAUCAGCUUGUUGGUGGGGUAGUGGCUUACCAAGGCUUUGACGGGUAGCCGGCCUGAGAGGGUGACCGGCCACAUUGGGACUGAGAUACGGCCCAGACUCCUACGGGAGGCAGCAGUGGGGAAUAUUGCACAAUGGGCGGAAGCCUGAUGCAGCAACGCCGCGUGCGGGAUGACGGCCUUCGGGUUGUAAACCGCUUUCGCCUGUGACGAAGCGUGAGUGACGGUAAUGGGUAAAGAAGCACCGGCUAACUACGUGCCAGCAGCCGCGGUGAUACGUAGGGUGCGAGCGUUGUCCGGAUUUAUUGGGCGUAAAGGGCUCGUAGGUGGUUGAUCGCGUCGGAAGUGUAGUCUUGGGGCUUAACCCUGAGCGUGCUUUCGAUACGGGUUGACUUGAGGAAGGUAGGGGAGAAUGGAAUUCCUGGUGGAGCGGUGGAAUGCGCAGAUAUCAGGAGGAACACCAGUGGCGAAGGCGGUUCUCUGGGCCUUUCCUGACGCUGAGGAGCGAAAGCGUGGGGAGCGAACAGGCUUAGAUACCCUGGUAGUCCACGCUGUAAACGGUGGGUACUAGGUGUGGGGUCCAUUCCACGGGUUCCGUGCCGUAGCUAACGCUUUAAGUACCCCGCCUGGGGAGUACGGCCGCAAGGCUAAAACUCAAAGGAAUUGACGGGGCCCCGCACAAGCGGCGGAGCAUGCGGAUUAAUUCGAUGCAACGCGUAGAACCUUACCUGGGUUUGACAUGGAUCGGGAGUGCUCAGAGAUGGGUGUGCCUCUUUUGGGGUCGGUUCACAGGUGGUGCAUGCCUGUCGUCAGCUCGUGUCGUGAGAUGUUGGGUUAAGUCCCGCAACGAGCGCAACCCUUGUUCACUGUUGCCAGCACGUUAUGGUGGGGACUCAGUGGAGACCGCCGGGGUCAACUCGGAGGAAGGUGGGGAUGACGUCAAGUCCUCAUGCCCCUUAUGUCCAGGGCUUCACGCAUGCUACAAUGGCUGGUACAGAGAGUGGCGAGCCUGUGAGGGUGAGCGAAUCUCGGAAAGCCGGUCUCAGUUCGGAUUGGGGUCUGCAACUCGACCUCAUGAAGUCGGAGUCGCUAGUAAUCGCAGAACAGCAACGCUGCGGUGAAUACGUUCCCGGGGCU
rnacentral:rRNA from 1 species